rnacentral:rRNA from 1 species
GACGGAGGGUGCUAGCGUUGUUCGGAAUCACUGGGCGUAAAGCGCACGUAGGCGGACUGGAAAGUCAGAGGUGAAAUCCCAGGGCUCAACCUUGGAACUGCCUUUGAAACUCCCGGUCUUGAGGUCGAGAGAGGUGAGUGGAAUUCCGAGUGUAGAGGUGAAAUUCGUAGAUAUUCGGAGGAACACCAGUGGCGAAGGCGGCUCACUGGCUCGAUACUGACGCUGAGGUGCGAAAGCGUGGGGAGCAAACAGG